rnacentral:rRNA from 1 species
AACGAACGCUGGCGGCAUGCCUAAUACAUGCAAGUCGAACGAGAUCUUCGGAUCUAGUGGCGCACGGGUGCGUACGGCGUGGUAAUCUACCCUUGGGUUCCGAAUCACUUCUGGAAACGGAAGCUAAUACAGGAUGAUGACGUAAGUCCAAAGAUUUAUCGCCCAAGGAUGAGCGCGCGUAGGAUUAGGUAGUUGGUGAGGUAAAGGCUCACCAAGCCGACGAUCCUUAGCUGGUCUGAGAGGAUGAUCAGCCACACUGGGACUGAGACACGGCCCAGACUCGUACGGGAGGGAGCAGAAGGGAAUAUAGGACGAUGGGGGAAAGGCUGAUCCAGCAAUGCCGGGUGAGUGAUGCAGGCCGUAGGGUAGUAAAGCUCCUUUACCCGGGGUGAUAAUGACGGUACCGGGAGAAUAAGCACCGGCUAACUCCGUG